rnacentral:lncRNA from 1 species
CGGCGGAUAACACAUAUAAAAAAUAUAUUAAAAAUAGGUUAUAACCUCUUUUUUGGUGGGGGUUUGUAAAAGUUUUUAUGCUACCCCUUUUGAGAGGUUUCAAAACACCACAGCCCUACUUGUGCCCUCCGCAUUUCUUCCCCUCUCUUCCUGUUUUUCUUUUUUUUCCCCUUCUUUUUUUGGGUCCCGAAUAUUAAUUUUAUUUAUGAUAGCCUCGAUUUGCCCAAUCCUAGUGUAGAAGAUUGAACAGGAGUGG